AUACUCUGGCUUCUCUUCAGAUCGUAUAUAUCUUUCGCCUUUUACUAAAGAUUUCCAUGGAAAAAUACCUCUCCUCCAAGGGAAAAGAAUAACUCCUUUUCAUCCACAGACAGUACAUUGGAA
rnacentral:snRNA from 1 species